UCCUUACUCUGCACCAACAGCCUGCCUUGCGGGGGCUUUGGGCUGAUCACCUCUUGGUGGUUCUUCAUUCAUUCACUUGUUUACUGGUCACCAGUAUGUGCCAGGCCUUCUCGACACUGGGGAAACACUAGGAACUAGACACGGUACUUGCUCAUGGAUCUUACUUUCAGGAAAGGGAAGCAGAAAAUAAACAGGGAAAAACAGAGUUUGUAGAUGCUGAGAAGAAAGUGAAACAAGAUGCUGAGGUAAGAGAGUAACUGGAUGAGGGGACUUUUUUCCGUUAGAUGAUCAGGGAAGGUCUCCCAGGAGGUAACAUUGAAGCUGAGACCUCUGAGGAAUGAGAAGGAGCGGUCUAUUGGAAAUUUGAAGAGAUUUCUGGGCAUUGGGAACAGCAAGUGCAAAAGUCUUAAGGUGGAAAUAAGCUGAAUGUGUUCCAGGAGCAGCAAGAAGGUCAUUGUAGCUGGAGCAGAUUGGAAGAUGAUGACCAGCUUCUGGUGAAUGCAAGGCCUCAAGAUGGAACAUUACUGGGUGGAGGAGAACUCUGCCCCAUCGACCUAAUCUUACACCCAGGACUGUUACAUGAGAAAAAAAAAUAAACCUGUAUUUUAUUGA